UCAGCACAGGAAUCUACAUCUGUUCUCCACCACCUCUCUUCUCUUUUCUUCAUUCAAGCACUAGAGACGCACCAGAACACGGCAAGCGACACUGAAUGGGGUCAAGCCUCCAGUCACGAUGACGGUUGAUCACUAUCUUACCUGGCCUAAACAAGACACCUGUGUGUAAAGAGAGAUACUGGGCAUGUAAGGUCCAUGGAUUUCAUUAAUGGUAGUACUCCCGACUUCCUGUUAUAAUGAGCCAAAUGGGAUAAAAUGGGCAAGCUCCUUCUGCUGCUGCAGCUGCUGCUGAUGUUUUUGUAUUCAGGACUUGGCCAGAAAGGUCUGGAUUGCGAAAACAAUAUGCAUAGAAACAUCACAUGUACGUGGAAUGGAAUGUGGCAAAGCACUGGUUUGCCUGUGAAUCCCCAAAGCAAGUGCUGGAUUGAAUGCCAAAGGUACCAGCAGCACAACUUCCAUCACCUCAUCAUCAUUUAUUCACUGUUCACUCUGUUGUUUAAUUUAAUUAUUUUUGUGUUUGUGCCCCAUCCCAUCUCUC